GGAGUCUAGCAUGUGCGCGAGUCAUUGGGUUCGCACUAAACCUAAAGGCGUAAUGAAAGUGAAGGUCCGCCUCGCGCGGGCCUAGGGAGGAUGGGUCUGCCCCCGGGCCGGCCCCGCACUCCCGGGGCGUCUCGUUCUCAUCGCGAGAAGAGGCGCACCCAGAGCGUACACGCUGGGACCCGAAAGAUGGUGAACUAUGCCUGGUCAGGACGAAGUCAGGGGAAACCCUGAUGGAGGUCCGUAGCGAUUCUGACGUGCAAAUCGAUCGUCGGAACUGGGUAUAGGGGCGAAAGACUAAUCGAACCAUCUAGUAGCUGGUUCCCUCCGAAGUUUCCCUCAGGAUAGCUGGCGCUCGCCGUGCGCGAGUCUCAUUCGGUAAAGCGAAUGAUUAGAGGCAUUGGGGUCGAAACGGCCUCAACCUAUUCUCAAACUUUAAAUGGGUGAGAUCUCCGGCUUGCUUGAAUGUGAAGCCGCGAGAUAUCGGAUCAGAGUGCCAAGUGGGCCACUUUUGGUAAGCAGAACUGGCGCUGUGGGAUGAACCAAACGCCGAGUUAAAGCGCCAAAAUCGACGCUUAUGGGAUACCAUGAAAGGCGUUGGUAACUUAAGACAGCAGGACGGUGGCCAU
rnacentral:rRNA from 1 species